GAGGAUAAGGAUGUGUGGUCAUGGAUAGAGGUUUUGGUGGGAAAGGCUAAUGUUACAUGGUCAGGAGUGAAAGUUACGUGGUUUGGAUCAGCAGCGAUGUGGGAAGUGGUGGAGGUGUUGUGUUUUGGCGACAUGGAGAUGUGGUCAUGGUAAGUAGGUGUUGUGGUUAGACGAGAUGGAGUUGUGGUCAACUGUUCAUCAGUCACAGCAUCGUUCACAAGGGGGGUGGUCUAGUUCAAUCGAAAAUUUCAAUUUAAAGCAAGAACUUGAUAUCAAGGAUAGUAAAAAUGAAAACGAUAUGUAACUAGGAAAUAUCUUUCAUUGUGAAAAUUUCGGCUGUGAGAAAGUAUCGGCAUAGUGUGUUUUCGUCGGCGGUUCGGUUUUCUACUCUGCAACUGCAAAAAUGGAAAAUAGAUCUAGGUUAAUCCAAAACAGAGGGGUUUGCAAGAACUUAUCAAAGGCCCGUGAC
rnacentral:lncRNA from 1 species